rnacentral:rRNA from 1 species
CCUACGGGUGGCUGCAGUGGGGAAUAUUGGACAAUGGGCGAAAGCCUGAUCCAGCCAUGCCGCGUGUGUGAAGAAGGCCUUCGGGUUGUAAAGCACUUUCAGUGGGGAAGAAAGCCUUGGCGCUAAUACCCUCGAGGAAGGACAUCACCCACAGAAGAAGCACCGGCUAACUCCGUGCCAGCAGCCGCGGUAAUACGGAGGGUGCGAGCGUUAAUCGGAAUUACUGGGCGUAAAGCGCGCGUAGGCGGUCUGAUAAGCCGGUUGUGAAAGCCCCGGGCUCAACCUGGGAACGGCAUCCGGAACUGUCAGGCUAGAGUGCAGGAGAGGAAGGUAGAAUUCCCGGUGUAGCGGUGAAAUGCGUAGAGAUCGGGAGGAAUACCAGUGGCGAAGGCGGCCUUCUGGACUGACACUGACGCUGAGGUGCGAAAGCGUGGGUAGCAAACAGGAUUAGAUACCCGAGUAGUC